rnacentral:lncRNA from 1 species
CAACUUCACUUGAGGUUCCAUCACUCUCGACCCAGCUGAUAGAGGUGUGAGGUAGCUUCGACCAGCUCUCCAUCUACUCGUACAGCUCUCUUAUACCUGCAUAUACUCUUCGCUUCAGUACUUAGUCAUUCAGCCAACCAUCCCCACAGACCAAGUACUUUUGGAGAGUCUUCAGCUACAUUUCUGGCCACUUCCAAAAGUGCUCCAAAAAUUAAUUAAAAUUCAUAAAAACUCAUGAUAAAUCCCAACUAAGAGAUUCCCAUAAUCAGAAUCCAAUGAAUCGACCCAGAUCAUAUGGAUCCCGAUCAUGAUCAG